rnacentral:SRP_RNA from 1 species
GCUGGGUGUGGUGGCGCGUGCCUGUAGUCCCAGGUACUUGGGAGGCUGAGGAGGGAGGAUCACUUGAGUCCAGGAGUUCUGGGCUGUAGUGCGCUAUGCCGAUCUGGUGUCCGCACUCAGUUCGGCAUCAAUAUGGUGACCCCCCUGGGAGCAAGGGACCACCAGGUUCCCUAAGGAGGGGUGGACUGGCCCAGGUCGGAAACGGAGCAGGUGGAAACUCCCGUGCUGAUCAGUAGUUGUUUUGGGCCUGUGAAUAGCCACAGUACUCUGGCCUGGGCAACCUAGUGAGACCCCGUCUCU